rnacentral:misc_RNA from 1 species
AAAAGUCCAUGGGGGUC